CCAUUGUGAUAUGCGUCAACCAGCUGGGUUCGUUGCAAUCAAAGUUCCACAUCAAGGCAUCAGCUGCAGAUAUUCGAGAAUUUGCGCACAGCAAAUCAAUAUAUCAUCCCUUUGAUUGCAAUGGACCUAAGUUGGUUGACACAUAUCACUCGG